CCUGAUUAUCUCUAAGUGUGCAUGUGGAAUAGACGGAAGAUUGGGUGGCACAUCCUUUUCUUUUUAAAAAAUUUUGGAUGCCAAAUCUUUGAGGGGCCCACCCCCUCUUAUUUGUCAUGGUGUAGAGGAGAGAGAGUGGGAUCCAUGCCCCAUCUCUUUUGUCUAGAGAUCCCUUUGUGGGGUGCCAAGAGUUGGUGCCCCAGCUACUUGACAAAUAUUUCUUGAUGCCUCUUGUAC
rnacentral:lncRNA from 1 species